UUCAUUGUUAAUUAAUAAUUGAGGACUAAUAUCCACAAUUUUCCGAUAUUUAUACUUAUAUGUAAAUAUUAUUGCUUUAGUUUUCGCCACAUUUAACUUUAACUUAUUAAUAUUUAAAUAUAAUGAUAUCUGUGACAAUACCCCAUUCAUUUUAUCUACUGCUCUGUUAAGACUUGUAUCACUACAUGCCAAAAAUGUGUCAUCAGCAAAAAGGUUUAUAAAUUCACGAUUUACAAAAAGCCCAACAUCAUUCAUAUACAAUAUAAAUAGAAGAGGUCCCAAAACACUUCCUUGAGAUAAGGUCAAUUGAAGGGCUGAUUCGCAUGAAUGCCCACGACGAAAACCUGAUUGAUUAGUCAUCAAAAUUUCAUUACUUGUAAUAUGUUCCAAGAUUUGAUCAUAUACUGCCAUUUCUAUAACUUUUUCAAUAGGAGAAAGUACAGAAUCACAUAUAUCUUCAAAUCCCUCAAUGAACUGUGAAUCUGAGCUUGAUGGAGCAUGAUAUAUGCAGCCAAUAAACCAGACAAGAGAUCCUACAUUCACCUUAACAAAUUUACACCAAAAGUUAUCCUUUAGCUCAAUUUUUUUAAUGUUUGAAAAUG